CUUGUAGGAGGCGGCAGGUGUGAUGAGCUCAGGAGUAGUGAAGGCCACAGCGACAUGUCCUGGUAACGAAAUUAGCAUAAAUAUAAAAGAAAAUCAGAGAUGGGGAAGAUUGACUCACGAGAGAUUGGAGAGGUAGAUUCGCACAGUGAUAGUGGAAGCAGCCUGGCUCUAAUUAAAUAUGCCACUGAGUCUCAAAGCAUUUGCUUCAGCAGCAGAGAGGAGAAGCUGCCAUAGAUUCGAAGGAAGAAAUAUAUCACAUCAUCUGUCUGUCCACAGUUUCCUUUGGGCAUCUAAAGCUUGGUGGAAUCAGAUUAUUUGCAAGAAUGAAGCUAGAUUAUAGCUUUCUUUGGGGAGAAAAUGCAAAAUGAGAAUUAAUUUGGACGCUCCUUUUCAAAUGUAAGUAUGAGCUCACUUUGAUCCUAACUGUUGGUCAAAGUUAUAUAUUUCAAUUUUGCAAGUAUGGAAUUUAGUUAGCUUGCUCCAUUUCUGGUGUCCAAGAUAGAA